GAAAUACCUAGUAAUCCAGUCAUCAUCAUUUUUAUCCUGAAGAGAAUGAGAGGAAAGAAUUAUCUCAUUAGAUAUGCAAGAGCCUGUCAGAUGAACUAAGUUGAUCAAAUAUGCAUCUGCUGGUGCUCAACAAAUGUCUACACCUCAAAGUGGUAAGCAAAUGCCUUACGGCAGAAAAGAUGAACAAAAAGCAGAGCAUCAUCUUUCAUCCACUUGGAUAUCUUGUGAAGAAGAUCCUUGUAGCUUUUCAUAUGCUAUCGAAGAACAAAACUUAUAAUUAUCUAAUCAUAUCAACUUUAAUCUGAGCAUCCAUAGCGUGACAAGAAAAGCACUGACCUCAAACAUUU
rnacentral:misc_RNA from 1 species